rnacentral:rRNA from 1 species
UACAGGGGGUGCAAACGUUGCUCGGAAUCAUUGGGCGUAAAGCGCACGUAGGCGGUUCGUUAUGUCGGAUGUGAAAGCCCUUGGCUUAACCGAGGAAGUGCAUCCGAAACUGGCGAGCUAGAGUACGAAAGAGGAUCGCGGAAUUCCCGGUGUAGAGGUGAAAUUCGUAGAUAUUGGGAGGAACACCAGUGGCGAAGGCGGCUCACUGGACCGGUUCUGACGCUGAAGCGCGAAAGCGUGGGGAGCAAACGGG